AUUCGCGGCCUAUCAGCUUGUUGGUGAGGUAAUGGCUCACCAAGGCAACGACGGGUAGCCGGCCUGAGAGGGUGACCGGCCACACUGGGACUGAGACACGGCCCAGACUCCUACGGGAGGCAGCAGUGGGGAAUAUUGGACAAUGGGCGAAAGCCUGAUCCAGCAAUGCCGCGUGAGGGAUGACGGCCUUCGGGUUGUAAACCUCUUUCAGCAGGGACGAAGCGCAAGUGACGGUACCUGCAGAAGAAGCACCGGCCAACUACGUGCCAGCAGCCGCGGUAACACGUAGGGUGCGAGCGUUGUCCGGAAUUAUUGGGCGUAAAGGGCUCGUAGGCGGUUUGUCGCGUCGGGAGUGAAAACUCAGGGCUCAACCCUGUUCGUGCUUCCGAUACGGGCAAACUAGAGGUAGGCAGGGGAGAACGGAAUUCCUGGUGUAGCGGUGGAAUGCGCAGAUAUCAGGAGGAACACCGGUGGCGAAGGCGGUUCUCUGGGCCUAUUCUGACGCUGAGGAGCGAAAGCAUGGGGAGCGAACAGGAUUAGAUACCCUGGUAGUCCAUGCCGUAAACGUUGGGCGCUAGGUGUGGGACUCAUUCCACGAGUUCCGUGCCGCAGCUAACGCAUUAAGCGCCCCGCCUGGGGAGUACGGAAU
rnacentral:rRNA from 1 species